rnacentral:misc_RNA from 1 species
UGAAUAAAUCUGGCGUGGUUGUAGCUGGCUCUUAGGAGCAUGUGCUCGCCCGUCACCUUUAUCUUUCCACCUGUGCACACACUGUAGUCCUGGAUACCUCUCGCCGAAAGGCGGAUGCAGAGUUUGCUGUCAGCCUUCGCAAGAAGGCCGGCUCACUCUGAAUUUCCAGGUCUAUGAUUUUUAUACACCCCAAACUGAAUGUUACAGAAUGUUAUCAUCAGGCCUCGUGCCUAUAAAUUUAU